rnacentral:rRNA from 1 species
GGAGGAGUUUUCGGAUGGAAUCCGGGAUGACUUAGUGGCGGACGGGUGAGUAACGCGUGGGUAACCUGCCCUGUACAGGGGGACAACAGUUAGAAAUGACUGCUAAUACCGCAUAAGCGCACAGGAUCGCAUGGUCCGGUGUGAAAAACUCCGGUGGUACAGGAUGGACCCGCGUCUGAUUAGGUAGUUGGCGGGGUAACGGCCCACCAAGCCGACGAUCAGUAGCCGACCUGAGAGGGUGACCGGCCACAUUGGGACUGAGACACGGCCCAAACUCCUACGGGAGGCAGCAGUGGGGAAUAUUGCACAAUGGGGGGAACCCUGAUGCAGCGACGCCGCGUGAGUGAAGAAGUAUUUCGGUAUGUAAAGCUCUAUCAGCAGGGAAGAAAAUGACGGUACCUGACUAAGAAGCCCCGGCUAACUACGUGCCAGCAGCCGCGGUAAUACGUAGGGGGCAAGCGUUAUCCGGAUUUACUGGGUGUAAAGGGAGCGUAGACGGCAGAGCAAGUCUGAAGUGAAAGCCCGCGGCCCAACUGCGGGACUGCUUUGGAAACUGCCCGGCUAGAGUGCUGGAGAGGUAAGCGGAAUUCCUAGUGUAGCGGUGAAAUGCGUAGAUAUUAGGAGGAACACCAGUGGCGAAGGCGGCUUACUGGACAGUAACUGACGUUGAGGCUCGAAAGCGUGGGGAGCAA